GGGGACAAGUUGGAACUUUUUUAGAGAAUGCAUGACAAAUUUUUUAAUACUCUGAGCCAACACAACUGGGGGAGCAUUCAUUAAGCUGUGAUGUAAAAGAGUUGAAAAAAAAAAAAUCCAUGCAUUUCACAGGUCAUAGUCUUCUAUAGUAAGUAGAAAAUAACAUGACUAACUUGCCUUUGGCUUCUUAUCUUCUUUCAAGGAUGUGACAUGCAAAAAUCUGGAAAAGGCCGGUAAACUAACGACCAGUUUAGGUUUUGAGC
rnacentral:lncRNA from 1 species